GACGAACGCUGGCGGCGUGCUUAACACAUGCAAGUCGAGCGGUAAGGCCCUUUCGGGGGUACACGAGCGGCGAACGGGUGAGUAACACGUGGGUGACCUGCCCUCAGCUCUGGGAUAAGCCUGGGAAACCGGGUCUAAUACUGGAUAUGACUCCAUGACGCAUGUUGUGGGGUGGAAAGCCUUGUGCGGCUGAGGAUGGGCCCGCGGCCUAUCAGCUUGUUGGGGGGUGAUGGCCUACCAAGGCGACGACGGGUAGCCGGCCUGAGAGGGCGACCGGCCACACUGGGACUGAGACACGGCCCAGACUCCUACGGGAGGCAGCAGUGGGGAAUCUUGCGCAAUGGGCGAAAGCCUGACGCAGCGACGCCGCGUGAGGGAUGACGGCCUGGUGUAACGUAC
rnacentral:rRNA from 1 species